GCCGGGGUGGUGAAACUGGUAGACACAAGGCACUUAAAAUGCCUCGGCUUCGGCCGUACGGGUUCGAUUCCCGUCCUCGGCA
rnacentral:tRNA from 1 species